AAAAAUUAAGUAAAAAAGCAAAUAUCGCUCAUAGAAGAAAAUAUAGAAGAUGUUUUCAUUCCCCAAAAAAUAAAAAUAUUUAGGGAUCUAAAAUCACUCGAGUCCCCAACCCCCCUCUCUCUCAUUCCAAAUCGUUCUUCUCUCCUCCAUUCUCAUCACCACAGCAAUCUCCACCAUCGCGUUGUUGUGGCCGCCGCGGUCAUUUGCCACGUCAUCACCAUACUCGAUUUGGCUCUCACUGGACCAGCUUCUCAACUAUGCGCUAAUCUACAUCACCAAUCCAUAGCCGUUUUGGAGUAUGGAAGAUGAUAUAGAAUAGUUCUCUUCUCCCGAAGAUACUAUCAAGCUGUUGUUCAGGUCGCUAUGCAAUCUGCAAUGCAAGAAGUUAUGAGUCUUUUAGUAGACAGAUCCAAUUUUGGGGAUACUUUUAGUCCCAAUCUCAUUUAGUUGCGGUUGACUGAUUAUUCAGAUUCAGAUGUGCGUCGGUCAACACAAUAUCAAACAUCCUAUAGUAGUCCUAAAGUCCCAUUGCAUGGAAGUGGAGUUUUAACUUCUCAAUCAUCCUACCAUAGCAUUGGAAGAAAAAAGAAUCAUAUUUCAGAUGUUCCAACUUCUGUGGUCUGUGCUUGGUCGUCAUUGGUAUACAGUCCCUGGUGGAAGGAAGGUUUAUGUUGGUAAAACUGGGCAGGAAUUGACAGGUCAAACAGCCCACAGACUAUGCUCAAAGGAAAGUUGAAACAGCCUGUGAAGGCCAGAAGAAGGAAAGCCAAAAAAUAAAAAUAGAUGAAUUUCAUGCCAUGACGGGCAUUAGUUGUAAUUGGAACUGGUAUGGGUAUAGGAAAUACAGAUUGGAGCCUAUUAUUAUUAUUUUUUAAAUAAAUGAACAUUGACACCAUUUUAAUUGUAACUGCAUGAUGAAAAAAAAUUAAUAUAAUAUAAUGUUAGACACCAA